AAACCUUUCUUCCCUGUGUUGUCUUAUCUUUCCAUUGAUCUUCUGUUGUGGGAGCAGCUGCAGGCUCCCCACCCUGUGAGAGCUUUCGUGUGCCAAGUCAUUGGCUACAGGUGGCAAAGUUGUGGCUCCAGUUCAAGUCUCUCCCCUGGAGCUGGAUGUUCCAGAAAGGACACUCAGUUCUUCAGGGCUGUCUCUGUGAUCCAGGCUUUGAUCUGGGAAAGGUUGCGCCUCAUUGCAGAGUUGAAGCUAUCUGCCUGCUUUGUUUACACGAACGCCCUUCCAGGACUCUGUCUGCUUUUGGGGUGGAAGUGCCCUGCCAAAAACUCCAGCUCUCCAUGCUGGCUGUGUGGCCAGCAUACCUCCUGCCUUUUCAACGAUUCCUCUGCCCUGGAUAGAGAGCGGUGUCUCAUAACAGUUUGGAAACUACAAAAGUUUCCCUGGCAGGAUGAAUGAUUGACUCGGCAACAUGUUCUUGCCUUUUGGAGUUGCCCUCCAAUUUUUCCAGGCUUGAUUCUGUAAAUCAUUUCAUCUUGUAAAAAUACUGGGCUGUGAGCACGGAUGAUCUCAAAGAUGAGGAAACAGAAGCUGGGAUAUGUGAGUAAACAUUUCCAAGGUCCUGCAGCUAAUCAAUGGUUGACAACUUCUUUCCUCUGCCUAUGUUGCCAUCCAUGUCAUGGUUUGUGUCAAGACUCUAGGAGAAGUCUACCAUCAGCACCACAGCUACUGUGCACAAAUCCAGAAUGCCAGACUGAAGUCAGAAGGAAAGAGAUGAUGCAGCUCAUUGCUGAUGCUGAGAUCCAACGUCCAGUGCCUGAGUACCCCUGGAUUCUGAGCACUAGGGGCUGGACUGUGGAGACCAUCAGUUCAUAACAUCCUGUCCCUGCUCCCUGCUGUAGAUGACUGAGACCAGGGUUCUUAAACAAGGGAGAAGCACUCUCAUACCCCUAGAACAAGAUGAACAAAAGAAGGAGGAAAAAUCUUGACCUCCGUAAGAUCCAGGAUGGCACGUGCAAGGCACUGACACAGCAUCUGCCGGCAUCACUGACUCUCCUGGACCCCAGAAGCCCAGUUCCCCAGGCUCUGAAACCCUGCAGCAAUGAAAAGGAAGCACAGGCAAACCAUAAGGAAGAUAAUUUUUCUACUAAAAAAUAAAUAGAAAUGCAUCCUUAGAGGCAGGUUUCAUGAGGACACAGAGAAUCCGGUUUUGUGUGUGCCUGAUUUCGUUUUUCUGUCAAAGAGAUACAAAACAAUCAACUGAGUUAUCUUGAACUUACAAAGAUUAAAAAUAAUCAAUUCCUGUUACUAUUUUCAAUUUUUCCCCCAUUUUACUUCUUUAGGUAUGAAGAAAUGUAGCCUAUUAAAACCUGGAUUAAUAAAAACCUUUCAUUAACUUUU
rnacentral:lncRNA from 10 species